CUUCAUUCCUUCACUCUUCCUCUGUGUCUUCGCUUCCUUCCCUUGUGUUCUCAAUCGUUACUGGUGUGAGCCUUUGCUGUUGAUCUGUCCACAGUUGGCUAGAGUGGAGCUCAUUUUCUUGUUGCUGAACGCUAGCAAAAAUCCUUUUCUUCCUCCCUGUUCGAGCCUACAGCAUAUUGCUGGGUGAGAAAUCAGCUCGCUGGAAAUUGGUGGUAUUGGUUGAGUUGGAGUUGAUGUGGAUUCUAUUCUCUUCACUUUUUUUCGAGUGGUGCUUCAUUUUUUUCCUCUUGCUUAGCUGUGAAUUUCAUUUUCCUCCUCCCUUGUUGCAUGUCGUUAGUCCAUCUGAGUUAGUAGUUUGCCAGAUUCUCUAGCGACUAUCCGGAACCCAGUUAACCCGCUUGGCGGGCUCGUGAUGGAGGAUUCAUCAUUCCACGAAUUAAUGGGUUUUUGAGUUUUCAAAUCUCCAAUAAGAGUAACGUCAAGUACCUAACAAUCUCUCCUGACUUGUUCGAAGUUACUGCUCCUACUUAACCAAACCCAUGCCACUGACCUCUAUUCACAACUUGGUUUUAGCCCGGAUGACCUCGCCCUUCCUUGAGUCAUCCUGCAAAAAGUUCAGGAACUGGCCCCGGUCUCCUCGCACUUGGGUUAACUGGGUAAGCAUUUGAAGUCAGAACAUACACCUCAAUGGAAGGAGAUAGGUUUAUAUGAUCUUAUCCAAUUAUCUUUGGCCGACGUUAAUGUCCUUGUGGAGCUUCUAAUGGCCAUCCUCAGCUUCUGGGCUCCAGGCUACAAUGCCUUCAUCUUCAAGCUUAGCCUGAUGUUCCUUACACUAUGGGAUGUCUUCAUGUUUUUGGGGCUACUUAUCAUUGGAGAGGAGAACUUCUACGUAAAUCUCUUGGAGGCACAACUCCUACACUGCCCUUGUUAACCUCUAGAAGUUCAUGUCAUUUCAUCAUAUUUUCUUUAGAUUCUAAGCCAUUUUAGCUCAAUUGUGUAUGUUUUUAUUGCCCAAAUUAG